rnacentral:lncRNA from 1 species
ACAGGAAUAGUUUCUCGAGGAGGAUCUAUUCAUGCAAAAUGGUGCCUGGCGUACCAUAAGGAGAAUUUUGCUUAUGAGCAUUGGGAUGACAUACUUGAUAUCUGCAACCAAUAUGAUGUGGCGCUUUCAAUCGGGGAUGGACUAAGACCUGGAUCCAUAUAUGAUGCCAAUGACACUGCACAGUUUGCUGAGCUUUUAACCCAAGGGGAACUGACUCGUAGGGCUUGGGAAAAGGAUGUACAGGUAUCUCAAUGCACCUUGGAAGUGCUCCUUUAGCAUUCUGUUCAUAAAAUGUUUCUAAAGUACUGCUCAAUUUGAAGCGUAUUACUGGCUUUACAUGGUUUUGAUUAUCUUAUAACUUUAACAUGAUUUUUUUUUUGGUGCUUUUCAGGUAAUGAAUGAAGGACCUGGACACAUCCCAAUGCACAAAAUUCCAGAAAAUAUGCAAAAGCAGCUUGAGUGGUGCAAUGAAGCACCUUUCUAUACCCUUGGUCCUUUGACAACUGAUAUUGCUCCUGGAUACGAUCAUAUCACUUCUGCAAUUGGUGCAGCCAAUAUUGGGGCUCUUGGCACAGCACUUCUGUGUUAUGUAACUCCAAAGGAGCACCUUGGGUUGCCAAACAGAGAUGAUGUAAAGGCUGGUGUAAUAGCUUAUAAGAUAGCUGCCCAUGCUGCUGAUUUAGCCAAGGGUCAUCCUCAUGCUCAGGCGUGGGAUGAUACAUUAAGCAAGGCUAGAUUUGAGUUCCGAUGGAUGGACCAGUUUGCAUUGUCAUUGGACCCCAUGACUGCCAUGUCCUUCCAUGACGAAACCCUGCCAUCCGAAGGUGCCAAAGUGGCUCACUUUUGCUCCAUGUGUGGACCGAAGUUUUGCUCAAUGAAGAUAACAGAGGAUGUUCGAAAGUACGCUGAGGUGCAUGGUUACGGG